rnacentral:rRNA from 1 species
CUACAAAUGAAUUGACGGGGCCCGCACAAGCGGUGGAGCAUGUGGUUUAAUUCGACGCAACGCGAAGAACCUUACCAGGGCUUGACAUCCCCUGACCGCGUAUGAAAGUACGUUUUCACCCUCGGGUGACAGGGAGACAGGUGGUGCAUGGUUGUCGUCAGCUCGUGUCGUGAGAUGUUGGGUUAAGUCCCGCAACGAGCGCAACCCCUACGUUUAGUUGCUAACAGGUGAAGCUGAGCACUCUAGACGAACUGCCGUUGACAAAACGGAGGAAGGUGGGGAUGACGUCAAAUCAUCAUGCCCCUUAUGUUCUGGGCUACACACGUGCUACAAUGGCCGGUACAGACGGAGGCGAAGCCGCGAGGCGGAGCAAAUCCGAAAAAGCCGGUCUCAGUUCGGAUUGCAGGCUGCAACCCGACUUCGUGAAGUUGGAUUCGCUAGUAAUCGCGCAUCAGCCAUGGCGCGGUGAAUACGUUCCCGGGCCUU